UAGCUCGGGUUUCUCUUCGUUCAUGCACAAAUCUUUCACCUUUUACCAAAAAUUUUCCAUGGAGGGGAACGUUGACAAGUUCUUCUUAUUUUUGAAGGCGCUGCUAUGGCAGAGCU
ensembl:snRNA U5 U5 spliceosomal RNA